rnacentral:tRNA from 1 species
AUUUAAAUAGUUUAAUUUAAAAUGUUGAUUUGUGGAGUCAAUGAUGUACGAUUGUAUUUUAAAUA